GUAAUGCUGUGUGUGUGUUUAUGUGUUUGUAGGCUAAUAUUACGUGAUUUAUGACCCUGAAGGACUUUAGUUAAUAUUGCCUAAGCUGCUUUAGUGUCCGUGGGAUGGAAAAAACGACAUACUCUCUAAAAGAGUUCUGAAACCAGGAUCUGAAGGGGUUUCUGUGGUAUCCAGCGCUGAUCCACCACCUUGCUGUCGCCCCACCUGUCGUUCUUCUUUGGAGCACUGUUGUCCGAGCGAGGAACAGCGGGAUGGAGGGGGUUAGAGCCGAGGGAUAACAGAGGGAUGAGGUCACUUCCUGUCCGAGGCGUUGUUGGAGAGCAGCUGGCUGAACUUGCGGAGCUGCUCGCUGGCCGAGUGCGACUCCUCCUGCAGACGCUGGUUGUUCUGCCUCAGAGAGAAACCCCAGUGUGAGGAGGACUGUGCUCACCUUCUCCAGCGCUCCGUGGUUGGUGCUGUGUCCGUGGCGGCGGGUGGGGAGCGUACAGGUGAACAGAAGGUCACCAGGUGGAGCCUGUCCAUCAUACAGUGGCGUGCUGGCAUAACUGGCAUCUCUCCGCCCACUACACAAACUCUCAUCAGAGAAGACGGUCGCCUCACUACAGACUGAUGACCUGAGCUUAAGUAUCGUCUGAAACACCAGCAAUCCUUUAAUCCUCAACUCUGGGGCCCAAUAGUACCCUUCAUCUGCGUGUGUGUGUGUGUGUGUGUGUGUUUAAUGUAAAUAUACUUAUUGUUUUAUUUUGUAGGUUAAAAUACAUUCACCACUCACUGGCCACUUUAUUGGAAACAUGUAAAUUUUCGUGCAUGCCCAGAGUAACCAACAUAAACAUCAAUAUUUGAAAUGUUUCUGCCCUAUUAAUGUUGUGUUGCUACCACAGAACUGAAUUUUUAACCACUUGGUGAAACAGAAAAGGUGUAAUUUAUGAAUAUUCACUACUAACUGGCCACUUUAUUGGAAACACCUGCCCCCCUGAGUGUGUUUUCAAGCACUCAAUAAAUCGUAUGAAAUCAGAUUAAUGAAGUUUUCUGAUUAUUAAUCUGAUAUUCAGAUUUGUCAGUGCAUGUAUACUUUUAACCGGAGCAUGACCUACUGUACUCUCUCUGACUCUGGCUGCUGAUGGAGAAACAGAAUGACCUACUGUCUCUCUCUCUCUCUCUCUCUCUCUCUCUCUCUCUAUCUCUCUAUC